AACGAACGCUGGCGGCAUGCUUAACACAUGCAAGUCGAACGGAUAGCUUGCUAUCAGUGGCGCACGGGUGAGUAACACGUGGGAACCUACCUUUUAGUUUGGGAUAACUUUGGGAAACUAAGGCUAAUACCGGAUACGCUUUGCAGCUUGGCGCUGUAAAGGAAAGAUUUAUCGCUAAAAGAUGGGCCCGCGGUGGAUUAGCUUGUUGGUGGGGUAAAGGCUUACCAAGGCAACGAUCCAUAGCUGGUCUGAGAGGAUGAUCAGCCACACUGGGACUGAGAUACGGCCCAGACUCCUACGGGAGGCAGCAGUGGGGAAUAUUGGACAAUGGGCGAAAGCCUGAUCCAGCAAUGCCGCGUGAGUGAAGAAGGUCUUCGGAUUGUAAAGCUCUUUCACGGGUGAAGAUAAUGACGGUAACCCGAGAAGAAGCCCCGGCUAACUUCGUG
rnacentral:rRNA from 1 species